UCCUGGUCAAGAAGACUGAACAUUUCUACCUCUUUCUUGGAAGCCAGGUACCAUGGAAGGCAUUAGACUUCUCUCAGACCAUGAUGUCAAGAGAAAGCUCAAGUCCACCACAUGAAGAGGCCAUGUGGAGAGAUUCCAGACCGGCUCCCAGCUGUUCCAGAUAUCUGAGAUGAGUUCCAGACAUAAGAGUAUUCCAUUAUAAAGAUGUGCCAUGGUUUGUCCAUUAACCAGUUGAAGGACAUCUGGUUUUUUGAAAUGUGUUCCCACACGCACAAAAGAAAAAUGUUUGUCCCGAUAUAUUACAAAAUGAUGCUGAAGCCAAACACGCACUUGGACGAACAGUCUGACUGUCAACACCACUCAUGCAAGAAGUUCAUCAAACAGACAACCAAUCCAUAUGAUCACUGAUACUCCUGCAAAAGCACAACUAUGUCAAAAUACACAAUCAAUUCCCGCUCAAAUAUUUAAACAGCCUUCCUAAGCUGUGAUGCUCGAUGUUUAAUAAAACCCGAUGGAAAUACCUGGAAAUACUUGCAGGAGAGUUGUUAGGCACCCUUAACUUCGCAGUUAAAUUGCUACUAUGC